rnacentral:rRNA from 1 species
UAAGACAUGCAAGUCGUACGCGAACGACCUUUCGGGGUUAAGUAGAGUGGCGAACGGGUUAGUAACGCGUGGGAACAUACACAGCACAGGGGGAUAACCAUUGGAAACGAUGGCUAAUACCGCAUACGCCCUAUUGGGGAAAGAUUUAUCGGUGUUGGAUUGGCCCGCGUUAGAUUAGCUAGUUGGUGGGGUAAUGGCUCACCAAGGCGACGAUUUAUAGCUGGUUUGAGAGGAUGAUCAGCAACACUGGAACUGAGACACGGUCCAGACUCCUACGGGAGGCAGCAGUCGGGAAUAUUGUGCAAUGGGGGCAACCCUGACACAGCCAUGCCGCGUGAGUGAAGAAGGCCUUAGGGUUGUAAAGCUCUUUCAGAUGUGAGGAUGAUGACGAUAGCAUCAGAAGAAGCUCCGGCUAACUUCGUGCCAGCAGCCGCGGUUAUACGAAGGGAGCUAGCGUUGUUCGGAAUUACU